rnacentral:rRNA from 1 species
CGGCGGACGGGUGAGUAACACGUGGAUAACCUACCUAUAAGACUGGGAUAACUUCGGGAAACCGGAGCUAAUACCGGAUAAUAUAUUGAACCGCGUGGUUCAAUAGUGAAAGACGGUUUUGCUGUCACUUAUAGAUGGAUCCGCGCCGCAUUAGCUAGUUGGUAAGGUAACGGCUUACCAAGGCAACGAUGCGUAGCCGACCUGAGAGGGUGAUCGGCCACACUGGAACUGAGACACGGUCCAG